CAGCCUCUGAGUAGAUCCGUAUCACUUCAAAAACAAAUUGGAUUUCGUGCCUAAACUCUCUCAAACCCACAAGAGAUGGAUAUACUCAAACUGGUUAAAUAUGCAUCAUAUCAGGACAGUUUCUAAUACUGCAAAAGAGAUGUAGGGACUCAUUUUUUGCUAUUUAACCUUCAGUUGACCUCUGCCUAAUGAACAUAGAAAAACAAAGAGGAGUUGAGUUGUUGCAGCCUUAUUUUAUUGAUCUAGCUCUUAGGGACUUGCUAGGCUGACUUUAAGAAUUAAAUUGUCACUUUUAAGUAGUAGGUAGUUAUGGAUGGUGAUCAUGGCAGUGAAGUCCUUCCAAGGAGGCAGAUUUCUCCUCUAUCUUCAAAGUGAUUUGGCAGCAGAUAAGUGUUUUUCACUAAGUCAAAACUAAAUGAUGUGAUCCACUUUUUGGAUAUUUUUUAGUAUGGGCCUGGGGGUGUCUAUCUGUUACAUGAAUAUUUUGACAUUUUGGGAAUAUUCGCUUUCUUGCCCAGAGUUUGAUGAGAAGAUCCAUAUCACUCUCAUGUCUGUACAGUGUCACGACUCCAGAAAUGCAGGACUGGACCCAAACGCAGACAAAGCAGUCAGUAGAGUGGUAGAGUUCAAUGAUUUAUUGUUGAAGCAAGGGUAUACAUAGGCUUACAGGCAGGUGCUGGUAGGCAGGCACGCAGACAGGUACAGGUAGGCAGGGGCAGAGUCGGGUGGCUCAAAAGCCAAAGUACAAAGCAUAUGGUAACUUUGAUGAUCUGGCAGAAUACUAUUGGAAAUGAACCGGUAUAUGUACUACUGGGCUGAUUGAGGGAAAUGGGAAGCAGGUGAGCAAGUGGGCGGGGAAGGUCAGGUGACUGGGACUGGAGGGAAAGGGGUGAUUGCAGAGCAGGAGGGAGAGUCAGUGAGAUGACUGGGACAAAUGGAAAAGUCAGAGGGCCUCUGGUGAGCAGAUGAUGAGCAGCUGAAAAUGUGGUUAUUUCCAUUCCACAAGAAUCUACUAACUCUAACCUGGGAGAUAAAAAAAUACAGCUGCUAACCUUCACACAGAUGAGGCCGCUUCUGUACAUUAUUAAACCAGCGUCGCCUGACAUCAUGCUGCUCUGGCUGAGUGCGUCUCUGUUGCCAGGGAGAAGAAGCAGACCUUGGAGGGUGCAUGCGUACUGCUGUUGACUGGAAGUGACACAUCAAACUACUCAGUGUGCUAUCAGUGCACCAGAACAUGGACUCCCUCAAGGCUAUAGUCAGUCAUCUGAACCAUUAUAUUACUCAAAGUCUUCACAUGAUGAUACUACUUUAUUCUGGAUAUCUUUUACCCGAAAAUAUGAGUUAACCCUUUAAUGCAUGAAUUAUGACAACCUCAGUCAGGAUUUUUUUCCUAAGUGUUUUAUUACUUGUUUUAUUAAAACUUCAUUUUGUUUAAACAUGCAUUUUUCAAGUAGUUUGGCUGGCCAGUGGGUGGCAGUGUAUGGGAACUGCAAGGUCUGGUGAUAAUUCUCUGUGGGUUUGUCGCUACAAGUGACUCCUUUCACAUACGUAUAGCCAUUUAACUCAUUGUUAAUACAAAAAUAUUAAUUAUAGCUGCUUUAAAUAACUGUACCAUUACAUGAGAUACAUUAUUCACACUGGUGCCAUUCUACACUUCGACUUCCUUUUAAAUGAGACUUUUCUGUUCAUAAAAACAUUUUAGCCUCCUAAUGAUACUGAAUAAUCCUAUUUCUAGAUAUGUUCAUCUAUGAUAUCGAAUAUCUCCAGUCUUGCUAUUGUUCUCUGUGGUGAGAAGAUACUUGGCAAUUCAUCCCAGUUAAAUUCACAAACUCAAGAAACCAUUUUGUUUGUUGAAUCCCCUUUCCUUACAUGUCUUCUUACAAAACACAACUUGUCCUGUGCUGCUUGCUUGUUAUAAAUUCUGUUUCUACACUCACUGCAUUAUUAUACAAUAUUAAAGUU